ensembl:lncRNA novel transcript, antisense to IER2
CACAACACCCAAGCCUCCCUUCUCCCAGUCCAGAAGGAGAGCGAAAGGUUCACGUCCCAGUCCACUAAGACAGCACCUGUGGGCGCAGGUCUCUGCGGAAGGCGCCCGCGCCCCCGGCUCAGACUCCUCGGUGCCGUCCCUGCACACUGAAGGCGAUGGCUCCCCGGGGACAGAGUCCCUCUCCGGGCCUCUCAGCAGCCCGGGCGGCGGCUUCUCUCCACGGUUUUCGCGGGCGCUUCCCCCAGGAUGGAGGGGGGUGGCCUCGCCUCAGGUCUGCGCCCUCGGGCCGACGGUUCGACGCGCGCUCUGGGCUCCGGCAGCGCCGCUCGGGGUCCUCAGAAGGCCACCACGGCCCGCACGAGCACGUUGAGCAUGCUGUCCGCCGGGCGGCAAGCGGGCUUUGCCUCGCACGCGGGCGGCGCCGUCGGAGGGGCCGCGGGGCUGCAGUUCAGGAGGCCGGAGAAGCGCCUCUGCAGGACGCGGGCCAGGUUGGGAAAGGCGCCCUCCGCUUGCGCCGGAGGGGGCUGCAGGCGAUCGGCGACUUCGGAUGACGCUCCCUCCUCUUCUUCCUUUUCUUCCAGACGGGCUUUCUUGCUCGGGACCAGUCCAGCGUCCCCGCCGUCGCUCAGGGUCAUGAUGCGCUGUGCCUCUUUCUGCACUUCCAUGGCGACUCGACGGCGACAGCGGCGGGGGCUCCCGGGAGGGACAGAACAGGCAGCAGGUGCACUCCGGACAACGGGCUCGCUCACGCCUCUC